rnacentral:rRNA from 1 species
UUAAAAAGCUCGUAGUUGGAUUUCUGCUUUGGACAAGUGGUCCACAUUUUCGUGUGAGUAUCUACUUUGGCCUUUGCAUCUUCUUGGGGAACGUUCUGCUUCAUUGUGGUUCGGGGAUCCAAGACUUUUACUUUGAGGAAAUUAGAGUGUUCGCAGCAGGCAAUCGCCGUGAAUACAUUAGCAUGGAAUAAUAUUAUAGAUUCUCGAAUCUUCUUUGUUGGUUCUAGGUUUGGGAAGAUGAUGAAUAGGAUCAGCUGGGGGCAUCCGUAUUAACGCGUCAGAGGUGGAAUUCUUGGAUUGCGUUACGACGAACUACUGCGAAAGCAUUUGCCAAGGAUGUUUUCAUUGAUCAAGAAGGAAAGUCUGGGGAUC